rnacentral:lncRNA from 1 species
UUUAGCUCAAGGUAAAAUAUGUUAUAAUCUUCAGUUCCAAAGACAUUUAUUACUACAAAAACCUGUUAAAUGGCUUUAAAUAGCCUCAGUCUUUAAUGUCUUUAAGAACAAGAGAGUUCUAAUGGAAAAACUUCAUAUUUCAAGGCUGAAGAAUGUUUCGAUGGAAGCCAAUGAAUCGAAGUAAUCAGGAAUUGUGGACUUAGAGUAUUUUUCAUUAUCUAAGUGUGAUUCGACUUCGACGGUUACAACGGU